rnacentral:lncRNA from 1 species
UUUUCUUCUGUAUCUGCCAAAACCAGAAAAGUUUCCCCAUUCUGCUUAACAAAUACUUUCGACCAAUUGUGAAUCCAGAAAAGAAAAACAAAGAAAGAAAGAGCAGUACUUUAAAAUAUUGAUAAAAAAAAUAAGCUUCUUGGGGCUUUGUUGGGACUCCUAUGGUGAGGACCGUUAGGAAGGCCAUCAGCAAAUCAACGUCCAACUGCCCAGUGUUUGAUAUGGUUGAGCUGAUAGAUAUGUGAGGUUUAAAGCUAAUCAAAACUCCAAGUCAAGUUUUCUUCCUGCCAUGCCAUGAGAUGAUCUGGAAAUGUGAUGUCAACAUCAAUGGUUCUAAUACUUUCUUUGAAUAAUUGGUGGACAAGUUAGUUGGAUGUAGAAUUUCAAGUUUCUCCUCUACAUUAUAUCUUAAGUAGUCUCAUUUCUCGUACUUGAUGCUUUUUGUAGUUUGAAAAACUGUAAGGACCUUCUUACUUGAACCUUAUGCAGGUCAUCCAGCAUUAAUUGGACGCCAUCGCCCAUUUCCAGUCACUCAUAAGGCUGCUGAUAGAUGGCUACAACAUAUGCAACAAGCACUAGACAGUGUUACAGACAUUGACGAAGACUCCAAAAUUAAAAUGAACAACUUUUUCAGGUACAAGCUAAAUCUUAUUUGAACUUACCUCAAGUAAAUGCACUUGUGCA